UACGGAGGGUGCAAGCGUUGUACGGAUUUACUGGGCGUAAAGGGCGCGUAGGCGGCGCGUAAAGUCGGACAUGAAAUCAUUAGGCUCAACCUAAUGGCUGUGUCCGAUACUUACGUGCUUGGAGUGCGGGAGAGGCAGCCGGAAUUCUCGGUGUAGCGGUGAAAUGCGUAGAUAUCGAGAGGAACACCGGUGACGAAGGUGGGUUGCUGGACCGACACUGACGCUGAGGCGCGAAAGCUAGGGGAGCAAACGGG
rnacentral:rRNA from 1 species